AACGAACGCUGGCGGCAGGCUUAACACAUGCAAGUCGAACGCAUCGCAAGAUGAGUGGCAGACGGGUGAGUAACGCGUGGGAACAUACCCUUUUCUACGGAAUAGCUCUGGGAAACUGGAAUUAAUACCGUAUACGCCCUACGGGGGAAAGAUUUAUCGGGGAAGGAUUGGCCCGCGUUGGAUUAGCUAGUUGGUGGGGUAAAGGCCUACCAAGGCGACGAUCCAUAGCUGGUCUGAGAGGAUGAUCAGCCACAUUGGGACUGAGACACGGCCCAAACUCCUACGGGAGGCGGCAGUGGGGAAUAUUAGACAAUGGGCGCAAGCCUGAUCCAGCCAUGCCGCGUGAGUGAUGAAGGCCUUAGGGUUGUAAAGCUCUUUCACCGAUGAAGAUAAUGACGGUAGUCGGAGAAGAAGCCCCGGCUAACUUCGUGCCAGCCGCCGCGGUAACAC
rnacentral:rRNA from 1 species